AUACGUAGGGGGCGAGCGUUAUCCGGAAUUAUUGGGCGUAAAGAGUGAGCAGGCGGUUAAUUAAGUCUGAGGUUAAAGCGUGGGGCUCAACCCCAUAAAGCCUUGGAAACUGAUUGACUAGAGUACGGGAGAAGUGAAGGGAACUCCAUGUGGAGCGGUGAAAUGCGUAGAUAUAUGGAAGAACUCCAGUGGCGAAGGCGCUUCACUAGCCCGAAACUGACGCUCAGUCACGAAAGCGUGGGUAGCAAAUAGGAUUAGAUACCCUAGUAGUCCACGCUGUAAACGAUGACAACUAAAUAUUGCCGCGAGGCAGUGUUGAAGCUAACGCAUUAAGUUGUCCGCCUGGGGAGUACGGUCGCAAGACUGAAACUUAAAGGAAUUGACGGGG
rnacentral:rRNA from 1 species